rnacentral:rRNA from 1 species
UAGUGAUCCGGUGGUUCUGAAUGGAAGGGCCAUCGCUCAACGGAUAAAAGGUACUCCGGGGAUAACAGGCUGAUACCGCCCAAGAGUUCAUAUCGACGGCGGUGUUUGGCACCUCGAUGUCGGCUCAUCACAUCCUGGGGCUGAAGUAGGUCCCAAGGGUAUGGCUGUUCGCCAUUUAAAGUGGUACGCGAGCUGGGUUUAGAACGUCGUGAGACAGUUCGGUCCCUAUCUGCCGUGGGCGCUGGAGAACUGAGGGGGGCUGCUCCUAGUACGAGAGGACCGGAGUGGACGCAUCACUGGUGUUCGGGUUGUCAUGCCAAUGGCACUGCCCGGUAGCUAAAUGCGGAAGAGAUAAGUGCUGAAAGCAUCUAAGCACGAAACUUGCCCCGAGAUGAGUUCUCCCUGAGACUUUAG